GGGUUGUGAGGUUAAGCGACUAAGCGUACACGGUGGAUGCCCUGGCAGUCAGAGGCGAUGAAGGACGUGCUAAUCUGCGAUAAGCGUCGGUAAGGUGAUAUGAACCGUUAUAACCGGCGAUUUCCGAAUGGGGAAACCCAGUGUGUUUCGACACACUAUCAUUAACUGAAUCCAUAGGUUAAUGAGGCGAACCGGGGGAACUGAAACAUCUAAGUACCCCGAGGAAAAGAAAUCAACCGAGAUUCCCCCAGUAGCGGCGAGCGAACGGGGAGCAGCCCAGAGCCUGAAUCAGUGUGUGUGUUAGUGGAAGCGUCUGGAAAGGCGCGCGAUACAGGGUGACAGCCCCGUACACAAAAAUGCACAUGCUGUGAGCUCGAUGAGUAGGGCGGGACACGUGGUAUCCUGUCUGAAUAUGGGGGGACCAUCCUCCAAGGCUAAAUACUCCUGACUGACCGAUAGUGAACCAGUACCGUGAGGGAAAGGCGAAAAGAACCCCGGCGAGGGGAGUGAAAAAGAACCUGAAACCGUGUACGUACAAGCAGUGGGAGCACGCUUAGGCGUGUGACUGCGUACCUUUUGUAUAAUGGGUCAGCGACUUAUAUUCUGUAGCAAGGUUAACCGAAUAGGGGAGCCGAAGGGAAACCGAGUCUUAACUGGGCGUUAAGUUGCAGGGUAUAGACCCGAAACCCGGUGAUCUAGCCAUGGGCAGGUUGAAGGUUGGGUAACACUAACUGGAGGACCGAACCGACUAAUGUUGAAAAAUUAGCGGAUGACUUGUGGCUGGGGGUGAAAGGCCAAUCAAACCGGGAGAUAGCUGGUUCUCCCCGAAAGCUAUUUAGGUAGCGCCUCGUGAAUUCAUCUCCGGGGGUAGAGCACUGUUUCGGCAAGGGGGUCAUCCCGACUUACCAACCCGAUGCAAACUGCGAAUACCGGAGAAUGUUAUCACGGGAGACACACGGCGGGUGCUAACGUCCGUCGUGAAGAGGGAAACAACCCAGACCGCCAGCUAAGGUCCCAAAGUCAUGGUUAAGUGGGAAACGAUGUGGGAAGGCCCAGACAGCCAGGAUGUUGGCUUAGAAGCAGCCAUCAUUUAAAGAAAGCGUAAUAGCUCACUGGUCGAGUCGGCCUGCGCGGAAGAUGUAACGGGGCUAAACCAUGCACCGAAGCUGCGGCAGCGACGCUGAUGCGUUGUUGGGUAGGGGAGCGUUCUGUAAGCCUGUGAAGGUGUGCUGUGAGGCAUGCUGGAGGUAUCAGAAGUGCGAAUGCUGACAUAAGUAACGAUAAAGCGGGUGAAAAGCCCGCUCGCCGGAAGACCAAGGGUUCCUGUCCAACGUUAAUCGGGGCAGGGUGAGUCGACCCCUAAGGCGAGGCCGAAAGGCGUAGUCGAUGGGAAACAGGUUAAUAUUCCUGUACUUGGUGUUACUGCGAAGGGGGGACGGAGAAGGCUAUGUUGGCCGGGCGACGGUUGUCCCGGUUUAAGCGUGUAGGCUGGUUUUCCAGGCAAAUCCGGAAAAUCAAGGCUGAGGCGUGAUGACGAGGCACUACGGUGCUGAAGCAACAAAUGCCCUGCUUCCAGGAAAAGCCUCUAAGCAUCAGGUAACAUCAAAUCGUACCCCAAACCGACACAGGUGGUCAGGUAGAGAAUACCAAGGCGCUUGAGAGAACUCGGGUGAAGGAACUAGGCAAAAUGGUGCCGUAACUUCGGGAGAAGGCACGCUGAUAUGUAGGUGAAGCGACUUGCUCGUGGAGCUGAAAUCAGUCGAAGAUACCAGCUGGCUGCAACUGUUUAUUAAAAACACAGCACUGUGCAAACACGAAAGUGGACGUAUACGGUGUGACGCCUGCCCGGUGCCGGAAGGUUAAUUGAUGGGGUUAGCGGUAACGCGAAGCUCUUGAUCGAAGCCCCGGUAAACGGCGGCCGUAACUAUAACGGUCCUAAGGUAGCGAAAUUCCUUGUCGGGUAAGUUCCGACCUGCACGAAUGGCGUAAUGAUGGCCAGGCUGUCUCCACCCGAGACUCAGUGAAAUUGAACUCGCUGUGAAGAUGCAGUGUACCCGCGGCAAGACGGAAAGACCCCGUGAACCUUUACUAUAGCUUGACACUGAACAUUGAGCCUUGAUGUGUAGGAUAGGUGGGAGGCUUUGAAGUGUGGACGCCAGUCUGCAUGGAGCCGACCUUGAAAUACCACCCUUUAAUGUUUGAUGUUCUAACGUUGACCCGUAAUCCGGGUUGCGGACAGUGUCUGGUGGGUAGUUUGACUGGGGCGGUCUCCUCCUAAAGAGUAACGGAGGAGCACGAAGGUUGGCUAAUCCUGGUCGGACAUCAGGAGGUUAGUGCAAUGGCAUAAGCCAGCUUGACUGCGAGCGUGACGGCGCGAGCAGGUGCGAAAGCAGGUCAUAGUGAUCCGGUGGUUCUGAAUGGAAGGGCCAUCGCUCAACGGAUAAAAGGUACUCCGGGGAUAACAGGCUGAUACCGCCCAAGAGUUCAUAUCGACGGCGGUGUUUGGCACCUCGAUGUCGGCUCAUCACAUCCUGGGGCUGAAGUAGGUCCCAAGGGUAUGGCUGUUCGCCAUUUAAAGUGGUACGCGAGCUGGGUUUAGAACGUCGUGAGACAGUUCGGUCCCUAUCUGCCGUGGGCGCUGGAGAACUGAGGGGGGCUGCUCCUAGUACGAGAGGACCGGAGUGGACGCAUCACUGGUGUUCGGGUUGUCAUGCCAAUGGCACUGCCCGGUAGCUAAAUGCGGAAGAGAUAAGUGCUGAAAGCAUCUAAGCACGAAACUUGCCCCGAGAUGAGUUCUCCCUGACUCCUUGAGAGUCCUGAAGGAACGUUGAAGACGACGACGUUGAUAGGCCGGGUGUGUAAGCGCAGCGAUGCGUUGAGCUAACCGGUACUAAUGAACCGUGAGGCUUAACCUUACAACGCCGAAGGUGUUU
rnacentral:rRNA from 1 species